GUCACUGCAGAGGGAUCCGUUUCCACCAUCCGACGCCAGGACCCCGUCAGUUUGAAGAACUCUGCUAAGGACCUGCGAGGGGUUGAAUACGCUGGGGGUGGAGAGCAACUUCCCCCAGCCCCAGCUCGGUGGUACGAGUACAGAGGAUAAGCGUUGCAUGUUCGAACCUCAGGCUGCGAAAUAGUAUAAAUCAGCAGCGCGUCCCCAGAAACCAGAGAGAGAGAUAGAGAGAGAGUCACUGCAGAGGGAGCCGCUUCCACCAUCUGACGCCAGGACCCCGUCAGUUUGAAGAACUCUGCUAAGGACCUGCGAGGGGUUGAAUACGCUGGGGGUGGAGAGCAACUUCCCCCAGCCCCAGCUCGGUGGUACGAGUGCAGAGGAUAAGCGUUGCAUGUUCGAACCUCAGGCUGCGAAAUAGGUGUCGGGGGAGCCUCGUCAGAAAGCAGGCGCGUCCUCCCAUCGGCCCCCGCGCGACCCCCCAUCGACCCCUCCCCCCCC